rnacentral:lncRNA from 1 species
UCCAUAUUAUGUUCUCAGUUCUAUAUUACAAUUUGCAUUUAUCAACAUAUGCUUACAUAUUCACAAUUCAAAUAAAACAACUAAUAAAUUGUAAAAUAAAGGAAGUAAAGAACAUAUGUAUAUAAAUUCUAUGGCAAUAAAAGAAAUGUUUUCUAUAUUAUCUGCAUUUAGGUGGUACCCAACACUUUGACUAAUAUUAAUUUGGAUUGUUUAAUUUUCAUAAAAAAUUGACAAAAAGUUAACUUUGAACCCUUGACAAAAAAUAUAAAAAAAUCAAAGAAUUUGAACCAACCACUUUAUUAGAAAAAUAUCAUUGGUUAUAUAGUAGUUUAACAAACACUAUUUUUGAUCAUUGAGAAGCUUAAUAUUUCCUUAACAAUACAAUGUGAUUAAAACAUUUAGCUGAAUUUUACAGAGUUAUCUCCCUGUAGUGUUAACCAUAAAACCUUAAACUUCACUUAUCAAACAUGAUUUAUAAAACCACAAACAAAUUUUUCAACAAGUCAUUCUAUUUUCAUUGAAGGUGGUCAACAACCUAUGAUUGUAAUUUUCUGACCUAAAAGGUAUUCUUCGACUUCAAGGAAGGAAAAUAUUUUUAUUCAUCUUGACACUAGAGUGUACAAGAGGACAUAAACAAACAUAUAUAAAACAUGGCAGACAAAUAACUCAAUACAUUAAUAAACUGAUGUUGAUAUUUAGUACACUGUAUUAGUAAUCAAACAGACCCAGGAAUUCACCUUUUCAGAAUUUAAAUAGCUGUGGGUAAUUUCAUUGUUUGUAAACAAAAAUGAAAACGUUGUGUCAUUGGAUGGAUUUCCAUUGUUUAUAAAGUUUUAAACCAACAACAAUGUUUUGGUGAACACUUUUGAAAAUAUUACCCAGAAUGCAUUAGAUUCUGAAACAGCGAAUUAAAACAUAGGUGCAUGAGUCUUUCUUUGGUUAAAUGAAGAAAAAAAUAUGAAAAAAUGCUAUCAUAACAGAAGAACCAACAAUUAAAAAAAAAACACCUUGAAAAACCAUAGCAAGUACUGACACAUUAAAUUUUGAAUCAUUCCAUUUCUUUUACUGUAAAUUUAGAAAUUAUUUUGUGUAUCUUAAUUUCAAUUUUGAAGAAUGGACAGAAAUGCGAGAUUAAUUAUCACAAUUUUUUGGGAAAUUUGCAUACCAAUACAAUACAUGUAUCUGAUUAAAGAAUGUUAAUUCUUAUUAUUGCUACACUCUCCCAGUCCCCCUUGUUAUAUUUAUAAAUUAACUGUUUACAAAAUUUAGAUUUUUUUUUAAAUAAUAAGGCUUUUCUACCUCAGGCAUAGAUUACCUUAGCUGUAUUUGGAUCUCAAUGCUCUUCAACUUUGUACUUUAUUUGGCUUUUUUAAACUUUUUUGGAUUCGAGCGUCACUGAUGAGUCUUUUGUAGACGAAAUGCGCAUCUGGCGUAUAUACAAAAUUUAGUCCUGGUAUCUAUGAUGAAUGAGUUUAUUUGCAAUAAUUUCUGAACUUACAUCAUAUUUUAGAACUAUUGACAAUGACAGCACAUAUGCCAUUCCAAAGUACAUGACCAAAAAAAUGUCCAGUUAAUUGUAGUAUGUAGUGGUACCUUCUUAACUCAAAUAUUAUGACUUUAAUUAUAUAUUUAAUUAAAAAAAAGCUGUAGAAGAUAAAUGUAUAUGUAUCAUGUACAACAGUGAUAUCUGAACACAUAAUAUAUGAAGAGUAUACUUUACUACAUCUUCAAUGACAAUCUACUAACUCAAAAUGAGAAGGAUUGAGGAUAAAACAAGAAUGUGAACAUAGAACACGGAUGUCCCACUUGCACUAUCAUUUUCUAUGUUUAGUGGACCGUGAAAUUGGAAUAAAAUCUCGAAAUUCGGCAUUUAAAUUAGAAUGAUCAUAUCAUAUGGAACAUGUAUACUAAGUUUCAAGUUGAUUGGACUUCAACUUCAUCAAAAACUACCUUGAUCAAACACUCUAACCUGAAGCGGGACAGACAAACAAACGAACAGACGGACAGACGAACAAACGGAUGCACAGACCAGAAAACAUAAUGCCCCUCUACAAUCUUAGGUGGGGCAUAAAAAUCUAUAUCAGUGAUAACAGAACAUGUUUCCUCUUCCAGGCAGAAAUCCUUUAAUAUUCAAUAGAAGUAGACUUUUUUCAUAUUACCGACUUGAUUCCAGAUUAUAUAAUUUGUCGACUGGUUACCUUGGACAUCAUGGUACUCCGUCAAGUCAAAACUUUACUAUUUUCCGAUGAUUUUGUAGCGAAAAAAAUGUUAAGCAGGCAAUUUCCCCCCAAAACUACCGAUUGAAAGCUUGGUUUUACAUCUUUUGCUUGCUCUUACCUGACUUGGUACCAUGAUGUCCAAGGUAACCAGUCAACAAUUUAUAUGAUCAGGAGUCAACAGUCAGUAAUAUGAAAAUAGUCUUUGUCAAUAUGUAGUAUAAUUUGUGAGGUGUUAAAAAAUGUAAUAACAAAAAUGUGUCCAUAGUACACAGAUGCCCUACUGGCACUAUCAUUCUCUAUGUACGAUGGACCUUGAAAUUGGAAUAAAAACUCUUACUUGAUAUCAAAAUUAGGAAGAUUAUAUUAUAAGGAACAUGUGUACUAAGUUUCAAGUUGUUUGGACUUCAGCUUAACCAAAAACUACCUUGACCAAAAACUUUAACCUGAAGCGGGACAGACAAACAAACAGACCAGAUAACAUAAUGCCCCUCUACUAUCAUAGGUGGGGCAUAAAAAUGAUAGGUCAACAAGAUUUUUUUUAAAACAAAAGGUUUGGAAAAUAUGGCACAUUUUAUAUGGAUAAUACUACCUUAAACCUAUUUUGUCUAAUCAAAUAGCAUAAAUAAAUCCCACAAAAUUGGAGCAGAUUCAGUGACUAGUUUUUUUCAAAGACAAAUGAACACAAUGAUUAACUAAAGAUUAUUACAUUGGUUGCAAUGAAUUACAUUGAUUUCCCAGUUAAAUAAACAUGGUUAAUCACUCUCUGACAUCAUACAACAAUAGGCGUUGUCAAGAUGUCGAUAACGGCGGAUCAAAACAAAUUGUGAAUGCAUAGAAAAAAGAUAUAGUUCCUUACAUGUUUUACAUUAAUUUCUUUAAAAAAAAAAGCCAUUUUCCAAUGUAAUAAAAAGAAUAACUAAUUAAAGAAUUCUGAACAACACUGAUAAUUAACUCGUGUGCUAUGUGCAUUUUUUUCCAUUUGAAUUCUUCGAUUAGUUAUUCUAUAAUUAACAACUUUAGAAUGAACAAUAAUCAAAGAAAUUACAUGAAUCUCAUAAAUCAAACGGACAAUAAAAUGCUUCACUGAGCACAGCCUGAUACGACCGCAGAGGUUGAACCCUGAACUGUUGGGGCAAGUUUGGACACAAUAUUCAAGCUUGAUACUGUCUCAAUUUAUAUUUUGAUAAAAUUUUUGACAUAAAAUAGGUUUCUGACACAAAACAAAUGUCAAGACCUAACAAAGACUUUUUCUUGAAACUUCAAAAAUUUGAAAUUUGAAAGAAAAAAUAUGGAACCCCACCAAACUUUUUGAAUCCCACUUGGAGCAAUUAACCCCAAAAUCGAUCCCAUCCUUUCUAUUGUAGUAUGGAACCUUGCAAUACAAUUUCAGAGAGAUCAAUAAACUUAAACACAAGCAAUUGUCCAGAAACUACAAAAAUGGUUGUUUUUAGUCCCUUGUUGGUCCUUAAUUAAUCCAAACCUUCUAUGUGUGGUAUAUAUAUUAAACAUUGUGGUAAAAUUUUAGAGCAAUUGAAAUACUUAUACACAAGUUAUUAUCCUGAAAGUAGAAAAAUGCUUGUUUUGGGUCCCUUUUGGGCCCCUAAUUUCUGAACGGUUUUGACCACCAUCAUCAAAAUCAAUCCCAACCUUCCAUUUGUGGUAUUGAACCUUCUUAAUAAAUUUCAAAAAGAUCCAUUCACAUAAACUAGUUAUUGACCUGAAACCAAAUAUGUCUUCAGACAACGCAGACAACGACAACAUCAUACCAUUAUACAAUCCCAAAUUUUUUUUGCAGUCUUAUGAAAAGAGUCAUGUGAAUAAAAUGUUCUUUUAAACCCAGUGUAGCAGAAAAUUGUAGUUAGCACUUAACUUCCAUAAUGACAACUUUCAAACCAAUAAAACUGAAAAGUUGCAUUUAAAUGAUUAUAAUACCUCUUUGAUUUUGACAUCAUAAAUUGUUUGUAUUAUUUUAAGCUGUAAACAUGUUGAAUUAAUAAAAAAAUUAAUUAAUGAAUUGGAUUAAGGUUAUUCCCAUAGCCUUCUUUCUAGAAAAAAAACCUAAGCAAUAAAGUAGACAAUGUUUACAACUAAAUUCAUGGAUUCAGAAUCAUACAAAAUCAGAAAUAAAGGAGAUAUUUGAAGGGAGAUGAGGACCUGGAUAUGCAUAUUUACAUUAUUGAACCUCUCAGACUAUGUUUAUAAAGUCAUGGAUUUCAGACUCAUAAGGAGAUAUCUGAAGGGAGAUGAGGACCUGGGUAUGCAUAUGUACAUUAUUAAACCUCUCAGACUAUGUUUAUAAAGUCAUUGAUUUGGUAAAGAAAAUCACUGAAGGAAGACACUAACCUGGGUUUAUAUUAGUGUUGUCAACGGUUAACUGGUUAACUGGUUAACCGUUUGAACUACCGAAUACCAAAAAACGCUAACUGGUUAACCAGACUUUUUUUUUCAAUUUUGAUAGACUUGAUAUAAAUUUGUAAUGAAAUCAUUAAAUAGUUAUGUUGUCUUAAAAAAUUGUCGACCUGGUAAUUAAUUUUACAGAUCAAUUAUCCAGUAAAUUGAUUGCUAUUGUUAAUAAAAAAAAUUACUUAGAACUUGUCUCUCAGCUUUGGGCAAGAUCUUAAGGAAACAUAAUUAGUAUAUAUGUUUUGUUAACAGUAACUUUAAAUCAGUAAUAGGAUUAAGUUUUACGAUUUACUUUAUUAUUUCAUUUUUGUUCUUAUAUUGUGUCGACCUACAUCUGAAUGUGCAAUCUCUGUCGUGCAAGGCUUUGUCAUACUUAAAAUGAAAUGCUAACUCAAAAAUGGUGAAUUGCAAACCUAUGUGAGUAACAAGCUUUGGCUUAAUCAUUUCAAAUUGAAACACUCCACAUUAUUUUUGGAGACAACAAGAGAAAAUCAAAGAAUCAUCAGUUUCAAACAUAUUCAAUUCUACGAGAUCAAGAAGGUUUUUUUAACUUUUCAAUCUGAAUUUAGUACAAACGCCAUAGUUGAUACGGUGUAUUUGAUUAUUAAAAGUCAAACUUUUUCAAGAAUCUUCACAAACAAGCCUUAUAAUACCAAAGGACACUGAACUUCAAAUCAGCGUAUCAUAAAAACUUAAAUGUAUGACUUGGAUGACCGAAGGUUGUAACAUUAUAUAUAUGUAUGACUCAAAUCCAUGGUGGGUUCCAAAUGUAUGUCAGAUUCCUAAUCUGUGGUAAAUGUGACGUCAUGCCAUCCCAAAUCUAUGGCAAGUUUUGUAAUUUCCUAAUCUAUGGCGGAUUUAUGUUGUUUCCAAAUCUAUGGCAAGUUUUGUGCAAAUGGAAAACAAUGCAGUACAUUUUUGACCAAUGACUUGUCUUAAGUAAGCAGGUAAGAGGAAAUGUAUGACAACGGGGCCAUGUCUUUAAACAUCUUUUUUAUUAGAUGACGAUUUAAAUCAAUUUUGUAUCUGGUAAUUUUAUAUAUCAUUUUAUAAACUUUGCCUAACCGAAGACAGUAAACCACUACUAAUUAGACAUAGGAAGAUGUGGUAUGAGUGCCAAUGAGAGAAGGUACAGCCUUCAACACGGAGUCUUGGCUCACACCGAACUGCAAGCUAUAAAGGGCCCCAAAAAAUCCUUCUCUAAAACAUGUGGUACUGAAAAUAGUGGCGCCAUUAUUCAUCGCGGGAUUCAGCCAGUACAGCACAUUUGGUCUAUCUUCGGGAUAAUAGGUCACAUCUUCCUUUAAACCACCCGCAAAUUUUUGUCAGGGAAAUAUCUUCAUCUUGAAUGGUGUUCAAAUCUAUGGGUUCCGCCAUCGUUAGAGGCGGUGAAGAUGUAAUAUGGCGUUAUAUUCAAUUGUGACGUUAUAUGGUACCCUCUCCCCAAGAUCUGCCAUAGAUUUAGAGUAAACAAAAAUCUGCCAUAGAUUUUAGUUGUUUGGCGUUUGUAACGUCACAUUUGCCAAAGAUUAGAAAUCUGCCAAAUAUUUGGAACCUGGCAUAGAUUUGAGUCCUACAUAUAUAACACUCAUACCACAUCUUCUAUAUAUAUGUGUAGGGUACUAUAGAUAAGGCCUUCAAACAUCAACAUAAACUACCGGUUAACCAGUUAAUCAGUCAAACGAGGAUCCAAGUAACCGGUUAGGCAAAAUUGUACGAUUUGACAACACUAAUAUAUAUUUAAAAAAAAUAAAAAAUACAUUGUGUAUAAAAUAACAAUAUAACAUCUUCACACACUUAAACACAUGUCUUAUAUCUAUCUCUAGAUUCUCCUUCUGUGACAAGGUAACACUAUGACUAUUGAAAUUAUAUUUUUUAUAUAGCGGAUGUGGUCGAGUGGUCUAGAGGGCUGGACAUGAGGCUAAGCAAUUGGUGCUGUAGUGUAUCAAAGGUGUGAGUUCGAAUCCCACAGAGGGACGGACAAAAAUUUGUCAGCAGAAAAAUCUAACUCUAACAUUGUUUGGUGUAAUUUUCAGACUUAUAGAAGAAAAUUAUUAAAGAUUUUAACGGUUUCAAUGCAUCACUUUUUUACUAGUACUUUCACUGGUUUCGCAGAUCUUCAGGUAAUGUGACCUGUGUACAUAUAAAACAAUUGAUUGACGUUAACAAUAGUAUGACGUUAACAAUACAAGAGAGACUACUAAUGUCAUUUUAAGUCUUCAAAAUGUUACGUUAAAAUUACAAUAUCAUUUAUCAUUUAAUCCCGGGUUGAGAAUGUUUAUGAAUAAUUCUUCUUUCUUCCUCUGGAAAAAACGUCAUACUAUUGUUAACGUCAAUCAAUUGUUAUAUAUGUAUACAAGUCACAUUACCUGAAGAUCUGCGAAAGCAGUGAAAUAACUAUUAAAAAAGUGAUGCAUUGAAAUCGUUAUCUUUUAAUAAUUUUCUUAUAUGUUACCAGCAUACAGACUUCACUUAACUUUUUCUUAUAUAUAUGUGUUUCAGACCAUAUGAGUAUUUGGACCGUACGCGUACGGUCUUGACCGUAUGCGUACUUUUUCAAAAUACUCAGACGAACGCACCGUACGCGUACAAUCUGAUUAAUAUAAUUAAGAAGUUGCUUAAGUUUAUAAGUUACAAAUGCAUGUAACAGAUCAACAUAACUUAACU